CCCCUAGAGUUGUAGGCUUUGCCUGCUAUCUCUUACCCAUGUCUUAUGAGUACCUUCGUUUCCCUUUCCCUCGGCGGGUCCGCCCGCCGAUUGGACAAUUUAAACCAUUUGCAGUUGCAAUCAGCGAUCUGAAAAACUUAAUAGUUCAUCGAA
rnacentral:misc_RNA from 1 species